GACGAACGCUGGCGGCGUGCUUAACACAUGCAAGUCGAACGGUGACGACAGGGCUUGCCCUGUCUGAUCAGUGGCGAACGGGUGAGUAACACGUGAGUAACCUGCCCCUGACUCUGGGAUAACCCCGGGAAACCGGAGCUAAUACCGGAUAUGACACCAAUCCGCAUGGGUAUGGUGUGGAAAGUUUUUCGGUCUGGGAUGGACUCGCGGCCUAUCAGCUUGUUGGUGAGGUAAUGGCUCACCAAGGCGACGACGGGUAGCCGGCCUGAGAGGGCGACCGGCCACACUGGGACUGAGACACGGCCCAGACUCCUACGGGAGGCAGCAGUGGGGAAUAUUGCACAAUGGGCGAAAGCCUGAUGCAGCGACGCCGCGUGAGGGAUGACGGCCUUCGGGUUGUAAACCUCUUUCAGCAGGGAAGAAGCGCAAGUGACGGUACCUGCAGAAGAAGCACCGGCUAACUACGUGCCAGCCGCCGCAGUAAGAC
rnacentral:rRNA from 1 species